rnacentral:rRNA from 1 species
GGUUAAGCGACUAAGCGUACACGGUGGAUGCCCUGGCAGUCAGAGGCGAUGAAGGACGUGCUAAUCUGCGAAAAGCGCCGGCGAGGUGAUAUGAACCCUUGACCCGGCGAUGUCCGAAUGGGGAAACCCAGUGCAAUCCGUUGCACUAUCGUUAACUGAAUACAUAGGUUAACGAGGCGAACCGGGGGGAACUGAAACAUCUAAGUACCCCGAGGAAAAGAAAUCAACCGAGAUUCCCCCAGUAGCGGCGAGCGAACGGGGAGCAGCCCGGAGUCUGAAUCAGCUUGUGUGUUAGUGGAACGGUCUGGAAAGUCCGACGGUACAGGGUGAUAGUCCCGUACACGAAAGCACACAUGCUGUGAACUCGAAGAGUAGGGCGGGACACGUGGUAUCCUGUCUGAAUAUGGGGGGGACCAUCCUCCAAGGCUAAAUACUCCUGACUGACCGAUAGUGAACCAGUACCGUGAGGGAAAGGCGAAAAGAACCCCGGCGAGGGGAGUGAAAAAGAACCUGAAACCGUGUACGUACAAGCAGUGGGAGCCUCUUUAUGGGGUGACUGCGUACCUUUUGUAUAAUGGGUCAGCGACUUAUAUUCUGUAGCAAGGUUAACCGUAUAGGGGAGCCGAAGGGAAACCGAGUCUUAACUGGGCGUUAAGUUGCAGGGUAUAGACCCGAAACCCGGUGAUCUAGCCAUGGGCAGGUUGAAGGUUGGGUAACACUAACUGGAGGACCGAACCGACUAAUGUUGAAAAAUUAGCGGAUGACCUGUGGCUGGGGGUGAAAGGCCAAUCAAACCGGGAGAUAGCUGGUUCUCCCCGAAAGCUAUUUAGGUAGCGCCUCGUGAACUCAUCUUCGGGGGUAGAGCACUGUUUCGGCUAGGGGGCCAUCCCGGCUUACCAACCCGAUGCAAACUACGAAUACCGAAGAAUGUUAUCACGGGAGACACACGGCGGGUGCUAACGUCCGUCGUGAAGAGGGAAACAACCCAGACCGCCAGCUAAGGUCCCAAAGUCAUGGUUAAGUGGGAAACGAUGUGGGAAGGCACAGACAGCCAGGAUGUUGGCUUAGAAGCAGCCAUCAUUUAAAGAAAGCGUAAUAGCUCACUGGUCGAGUCGGCCUGCGCGGAAGAUGUAACGGGGCUAAACCAUGCACCGAAGCUGCGGCAGCGACACUUAUGUGUUGUUGGGUAGGGGAGCGUUCUGUAAGCCGUUGAAGGUGUGCUGUGAGGCAUGCUGGAGGUAUCAGAAGUGCGAAUGCUGACAUAAGUAACGAUAAAGCGGGUGAAAAGCCCGCUCGCCGGAAGACCAAGGGUUCCUGUCCAACGUUAAUCGGGGCAGGGUGAGUCGACCCCUAAGGCGAGGCCGAAAGGCGUAGUCGAUGGGAAACAGGUUAAUAUUCCUGUACUUGGUGUUACUGCGAAGGGGGGGACGGAGAAGGCUAUGUCAGCCGGGCGACGGUUGUCCCGGUUUAAGCAUGUAGGCGGAGGUUCCAGGUAAAUCCGGUACCUUAUUAACGCUGAGGUGUGAUGACGAGGCACUACGGUGCUGAAGUGAUAAAUGCCCUGCUUCCAGGAAAAGCCUCUAAGCAUCAGGUAACACGAAAUCGUACCCCAAACCGACACAGGUGGUCAGGUAGAGAAUACCAAGGCGCUUGAGAGAACUCGGGUGAAGGAACUAGGCAAAAUGGUGCCGUAACUUCGGGAGAAGGCACGCUGAUGUGUAGGUGAAGCCCCUGCGGGCGGAGCUGAAAUCAGUCGAAGAUACCAGCUGGCUGCAACUGUUUAUUAAAAACACAGCACUGUGCAAACACGAAAGUGGACGUAUACGGUGUGACGCCUGCCCGGUGCCGGAAGGUUAAUUGAUGGGGUUAGCGGCAACGCGAAGCUCUUGAUCGAAGCCCCGGUAAACGGCGGCCGUAACUAUAACGGUCCUAAGGUAGCGAAAUUCCUUGUCGGGUAAGUUCCGACCUGCACGAAUGGCGUAAUGAUGGCCAGGCUGUCUCCACCCGAGACUCAGUGAAAUUGAACUCGCUGUGAAGAUGCAGUGUACCCGCGGCAAGACGGAAAGACCCCGUGAACCUUUACUAUAGCUUGACACUGAACACUGGUCCUUGAUGUGUAGGAUAGGUGGGAGGCUUUGAAGCGUGGACGCCAGUCUGCGUGGAGCCAACCUUGAAAUACCACCCUUUAAUGGCUGGUGUUCUAACGUAGACCCGUAAUCCGGGUUGCGGACAGUGUCUGGUGGGUAGUUUGACUGGGGGCGGUCUCCUCCCAAAGAGUAACGGAGGAGCACGAAGGUUGGCUAAUCCUGGUCGGACAUCAGGAGGUUAGUGCAAUGGCAUAAGCCAGCUUGACUGCGAGCGUGACGGCGCGAGCAGGUGCGAAAGCAGGUCAUAGUGAUCCGGUGGUUCUGAAUGGAAGGGCCAUCGCUCAACGGAUAAAAGGUACUCCGGGGAUAACAGGCUGAUACCGCCCAAGAGUUCAUAUCGACGGCGGUGUUUGGCACCUCGAUGUCGGCUCAUCACAUCCUGGGGCUGAAGUAGGUCCCAAGGGUAUGGCUGUUCGCCAUUUAAAGUGGUACGCGAGCUGGGUUUAGAACGUCGUGAGACAGUUCGGUCCCUAUCUGCCGUGGGCGCUGGAGAAUUGAGGGGGGCUGCUCCUAGUACGAGAGGACCGGAGUGGACGCAUCACUGGUGUUCGGGUUGUCAUGCCAAUGGCACUGCCCGGUAGCUAAAUGCGGAAGAGAUAAGUGCUGAAAGCAUCUAAGCACGAAACUUGCCCCGAGAUGAGUUCUCCCUGAGACUUUAAGUCUCCUGAAGGAACGUUAAAGACGAUGACGUUGAUAGGUCGGGUGUGUAAGCGCAGCGAUGCGUUGAGCUAACCGAUACUAAUGAACCGUGAGGCUUAACCUU